rnacentral:misc_RNA from 1 species
UCCGGUUUGUCACCGGCAGUCACCUUAGAGUGCCCAACUGAAUGCUGGCAACUAACGACAGGGGUUGCGCUCGUUGCGGGACUUAACCCAACAUCUCACGACACGAGCUGACGACAACCAUGCACCACCUGUACACCGACCUUACGGGGCAACCAUUUCUGGAAGUUUCCGGUGUAUGUCAAGCCUUGGUAAGGUUCUUCGCGUUGCAUCGAAUUAAUCAGCAUGCUCCGCCGCUUGUGCGGGCCCCCGUCAAUUCCUUUGAGUUUCAGCCUUGCGGCCGUACUCCCCAGGCGGGACACUUACUGCGUUAGCGACGGCACCGAGGGGGUCGCUCCCCCCGACGCCUAGUGUCCAUCGUUUACGGCGUGGACUAC